UACGUAGGGGGCGAGCGUUGUCCGGAAUUAUUGGGCGUAAAGGGUGCGUAGGCGGCUGAACAAGUCAGAUGUGAAAGGUUAAGGCUUAACUUUAAUAAGCAUAUGAAACUGUUCAGCUUGAGUUAAGGAGAGGGGAGUGGAAUUCCUAGUGUAGCGGUGAAAUGCGUAGAUAUUAGGAGGAAUACCAGUGGCGAAGGCGACUCUCUGGACUUAAACUGACGCUGAGGCACGAAAGCGUGGGGAGCAAACAGGAUUAGAUACCCUGGUAGUCCACGCCGUAAACGAUGAGUGCUAGGUGUUGGGUGUCAAAGCUCAGUGCCGCAGCUAACGCAAUAAGCACUCCGCCUGGGGAGUACGAUGGCAACAUUGAA
rnacentral:rRNA from 1 species